CAUGUAGGCGGAUUGAUAAGUUUGAAGUGAAAUCCUAUAGCUUAACUAUAGAACUGCUUUGAAAACUGUUAAUCUAGAAUGUGGGAGAGGUAGAUGGAAUUUCUGGUGUAGGGGUAAAAUCCGUAGAGAUCAGAAGGAAUACCGAUUGCGAAGGCGAUCUACUGGAACAUUAUUGACGCUGAGAUGCGAAAGCGUGGGGAGCAAGCA
rnacentral:rRNA from 1 species